rnacentral:rRNA from 1 species
UGGGGAAUAUUGCACAAUGGGCGCAAGCCUGAUGCAGCAACGCCGCGUGAGGGACGACGGCCUUCGGGUUGUAAACCUCUUUUGAGUAGGGAAGAAGCGAAAGUGACGGUACCUGCAGAAAAACGCACCGGCUAACUACGUGCCAGCAGCCGCGGUAAUACGUAGGUGCGAGCGUUGUCCGGAAUUAUUGGGCGUAAAGAGCUCGUAGGCGGUCUGUCGCGCCUGCUGUGAAAACCCGAGGCUCAACCUCAGGGCCUGCAGUGGGUACGGGCAGACGUAGAGUGCGGUAGGGGAGAAUGGAAUUCCUGGAUGUAGCGGUGGAAUGCGCAGAUAUCAGGAGGAACACCGAUGGCGAAGGCAGUUCUCUGGGCCGUAACUGA